UACGGAGGGUGCAAGCGUUGCCCGGAAUUACUGGGCGUAAAGCGCGUGUAGGCGGUUUCGUGUGUCUGAUGUGAAAUCCCCGGGCUCAACCCGGGAAGUGCAUUGGAAACUGCGAGACUAGAGUCCCGGAGAGGAAGGUGGAAUUCCAGGUGUAGCGGUGAAAUGCGUAGAUAUCUGGAAGAACACCGGUGGCGAAGGCGGCCUUCUGGACGGUGACUGACGCUGAGGCACGAAGGUCAGGGGAGCAAACGGG
rnacentral:rRNA from 1 species